AAUCACUUGUCUUUUAAAUGAAGACCCGUAUGAAUGGCUUAACGAGGGCUUAACUGUCUCCUCUCUCCAGUCAAUGAAACUGAUCUCCCCGUGCAGAAGCGGGGAUAACUACAUAAGACGAGAAGACCCUAUGGAGCUUUAGGCACCAAGACAGACCCUGCUAAUUAUCCUCUGAUAACUGGACCCAAGUGAACACUGCCUUAUGCCUUUGGUUGGGGCGACCAUGGGGUAACAAAUAACCCCCACGCGGAAAAAGAGCUCGCAUCCCACGCUUUCACCACCCACCUCUCAAAACUAAGAGCUACUGCUCUAAGUAACAGAACCUCUGACCGAAAAUGACCCAGCAAUGCUGAUCAACGGACCGAGUUACCCUAGGGAUAACAGCGCAAUCCCCUCCUAGAGUCCAUAUCGACAAGGGGGUUUACGACCUCGAUGUUGGAUCAGGACAUCCUAAUGGUGCAGCCGCUAUUAAGGGUUCGUUUGUUCAACGAUUAA
rnacentral:rRNA from 1 species